UGUUCUGGUUGUCAUUUUGGGCUUUUAUUAUUAUUACCGUUCCCCUGCCACCGAAAUUCCCUGGAAUGGCAGCAACAAAAGCUCGUAUAAUGGAAUUUAUUUUAUGGGCCAACAGACAACGCUGUCCAUAUGUUCCAGGGCAAUAUUUUUUAAUGCCCCGCCUGGAGGCGUAAAGAAAAUAAAAACAACAAGACACCCGAAGACAAUUAAAAUUUAUUCAACGUUCUUCGAGAGUAGAAAUUGUGGGGAAUAUAGAAACAUAAAUAUGUAAUAAGCAACAUUCUGAUGAAAGAAGGCGGCAUUAUGCGACUUACAUUAGCGUGUUAAUGCAAUUAAAAAGUCGGCUCAAGGCGCCAGGAUACCCAAAAAAAAAAUUAUAAUAGAGGGGCCACAGGACAAUGAAUCUUCGGACCAAGGCAAAAGAAAAGAGAAAAAAAAUUAAAUUAAAAACGCUUUUCCCCAAAGGAGACAAUGACGGGGGGAGGCUUUUCUCUGGCUAAAAGAUAACUCAAACCUAAAGAUUGUGGAAUGCCUAAUAAAGGUAUUCAUUUAUAA